GCAGCCGUAACAGCCUAAAUCGUCGUAGGUUGCUGAUGCUAAAAUCGAAGCACGAUUUUCCGCUAUAGAUUUCACUGAAAUCCUCAAUGGACGAAGCUGUUCUCCUGAUGGCUGGUUUCGUAAAAGAUCCAACUGAUCUUCCUUAAGUGCUUUUUUUUCUUUUAUAUAGAAUCGAUGGAUUUGAUCAUCCAGAACUUCAGCAAUUGACUGGAGCUACCGUAUAGCUAACAUGGCAGCCCCGGAUUCGUUGUAACAUCAUCUCAGCAAUCUAACAAUAUCAUCUGCAGCAGAAGACUGUGCCUAGGAAACCUACCGCGCAAGCCUCUAGCAGGUGUUACUGUGGUUAUUCUCCUGAAAAUUGUACGCCCAGAUUAUCCGGUGAAGAUUGACGUGCUUUGUUUAAAGGAAGAUCGGAAGCGGAUGUGCGGUUUCAUGCCACGUACAACCAUUACAUAAUCAAAAUACAUGGAAAGUUCUCACUUUACGUAGCCCACGGGGAAAAAGACAAUCUCCAGCAAUGAUGGCUUUGAAGAAGUGGAAAAAAUCAACGCCCAGAGGACGAUCCUCAGUUUAGCUGCCAACCUGUUUUGUCGAUGACAUACAUAUGCUAAGCUGAACGAUAUUGAACGCUCCCCAUCAUUUAUAUACUAGUUAAUAAUAUGUUAUUAUCAUUCAGUCAUUUGGUUGCGUGCAAUAACUACGGAGAUUAAAUAGGUAGAACAACGGGAAAGGUACCUUUGAAAGCUGUGCGCUGAUGUUACGUAUAUAGGACAACUGGAUACAUUUCGCCAUGUUGUUAGAAUAGUAUGAGCUCUACAUAUUACCAAUCUUGUCUUAUAUUAUAAGGCCUGCAUAUACUAAGGCAAACUAAUGUGAAUACUUGAUAUUAUAAUAAAUAGCUUCUGAGAACAGCACAGAGAUUGACAGGGCCAAUAUUGCCUGACCACAUCCUCCGAUUUGCAACUCAGAGACAGUAUUGCAGGAUAAACAAAAUCGUAGGAGGCUUCACAGAAGCGGUACAACACAGCAGGACGUGUCGUAUUUAAUAGCAUCAAACCGAAGCGGGAGAUCAAAAAGAUAUCGCGUCAAACAAUUCGACCCAAUUCGAAACAAACAAGACGACCAAAUAACGUGAAAAGUCACGAAGCAAGGUGCCUUGCUAUCGUACCAUACCUGCACGAUAAGUACGCGGAGCGCCUUCCGAAAAAGGGGGCUCAAGUUUACUAAAAAGCUCAACGUUUUUAAGAGUAUGAGAGAGACACAUUCGUAAAGUACGUCCAAGCCAAGCGAAUGCUGCUCGACGAGGUGGGGCUAAAGCUCAGCUUUCAAAAGCACUGUUUCUGUUGGGUAUACAAAAGAUAGUAAAGUCUAUUUUUUUAUUUGUUAAUUGCAUUACAGAAAUUUGGAGUAAUUCGUGUAAUUAAUUUGUCCUGUCCGGGAUUCCUGGAGAAACGCGUCAUAAUCUGGGUAUCACUUCAACACGCUAGUCGCUCACAUGCGUCUACAAACCAUGGUCUCAUACAAUUGCACGCGCUAAAGUGCGGUAUGCGACCACGGAACGUUCGCAUAACUAAUUAGCCGCUCGUGUAAAG
rnacentral:lncRNA from 1 species